CCUACGGGGGGCAGCAGUGAGGAAUAUUGGUCAAUGGCCGGAAGGCUGAACCAGCCAUGCCGCGUGAAGGUCAGUGCCCUAUGGGCGUUAAACUUCUUUUGUGCGGGAGCAAUAAUGGUCACGUGUGGCCAGACGAGUGUACCGUACGAAUAAGCAUCGGCUAACUCCGUGCCAGCAGCCGCGGUAAUACGGGGGAUGCAAGCGUUAUCCGGAUUUAUUGGGUUUAACGGGUGCGUAGGCUGUGAGGUAAGUCAGCGGUGAAAUGCCCCCGCUCAACGGGGUGAAGUGCCAUUGAUACUGCCUGGCUGGAAUGCGGAUGCCGUGGGAGGAAUGUGUGGUGUAGCGGUGAAAUGCAUAGAUAUCACACAGAACACCGAUUGCGAAGGCAUCUCACGAAUCCGCGAUUGACGCUGAUGCACGAAAGCGUGGGUAUCAAACAGGAUUAGAUACCCUGGUAGUC
rnacentral:rRNA from 1 species